rnacentral:rRNA from 1 species
GACGAACGCUGGCGGCGUGCUUAACACAUGCAAGUCGAACGGAAAGGCCCUGCUUUUGUGGGGUGCUCGAGUGGCGAACGGGUGAGUAACACGUGAGUAACCUGCCCUUGACUUUGGGAUAACUUCAGGAGACUGGGGCUAAUGCCGGAUAGGAGCUCCUGCUGCAUGGUGGGGGUUGGAAAGUUUCGGAGGUUGGGGAUGGACUCGCGGCUUAUCAGCUUGUUGGUGGGGUAGUGGCUUACCAAGGCUUUGACGGGUAGCCGGCCUGGGAGGGUGACCGGCCACAUUGGGACUGAGAUACGGCCCAGACUGCUACGGGAGGCAGCAGUGGGGAAUAUUGCACAAUGGGCGGAAGCCUGAUGCAGCAACGCCGCGUGCGGGAUGACGGCCUUCGGGUUGUAAACCGCUUUCGCCUGUGACGAAGCGUGAGUGACGGUAAUGGGUAAAGAAGCACCGGCUAACUACGUG